UCCAACUGGGUAACCAGGACAUGUCCGCUGUUANNNNNNNNNNNNNNNNNNNNNNNGACUGUUCCUUCCUGGACAGAACCCCUGACUUGUCUAUCUGACUGUUCCUUCCUGGACAGAACCCCUGACUUGUCCCUAUCUGACUGUUCCUUCCUGGACAGAACCCCUGACUGUUCCUUCCUGGACAGAACCCCUGACUGUUCCUUCCUGGACAGAACCCCUGACUUGUCCCUAUCUGACUGUUCCUUCCUGGACAGAACCCCUGACUUGUCCCUAUCUGACUGUUCCUUCCUGGACAGAACCCCUGACUGUUCCUUCCUGGACAGAACCCCUGACUGUUCCUUCCUGGACAGAACCCCUGACUUGUCCCUAUCUGACUGUUCCUUCCUGGACAGAAACCCUGACUUGUCACUGGCACCCUAUUCCCCAUUUAGAGCACUACUAGGACCCUGGUCAAAAGUAGUGCACUAUAUAGGGGAUAGGUUUCCAUUCGGGACAUGAAAACUGACUGCGGCUACACCGAGAAAGAAGCCAAAGAGAAGAGGUCCCUUUUAGAAAUAGAUUUGAAGGCAUGUCAUUUAGCUUGGUUCAGCUGUAAAGGCUUGGAGCAGAAAGCUGUCGAAUGAUCUCACAGCAUCAGUGGAAACACAAGGCGCUGGCUCUUCACUCGACACCCAGUGUCAUUAUACAUCAUGACCAUGUCAUAUGUCCUAACAGCUGUCAUAACAUGUUCAUAACAGCUGUCAUGACAUGUUCAUAACACUGUCAUAACAUGUUCAUAACACUGUCAUGACAUGUUCAUAACAGCUGUCAUGACAUGUUUAUAACAACUGUCAUGACAUGUUCAUAACAGCUGUCAUGACAUGUUCAUAACAGCUGUCAUGACAUGUUCAUAACAGCUGUCAUGACAUGUUUAUAACAGCUGUCAUGACAUGUUUAUAACAGCUGUCAUGACAUGUUCAUAACACUGUCAUGACAUGUUCAUAACACUGUCAUGACAUGUUCAUAACAGCUGUCAUGACAUGUUCAUAACAGCUGUCAUGACAUGUUCAUAACAGCUGUCAUGACAUGUUCAUAACAGCUGUCAUGACAUGUUCAUAACAGCUGUCAUGACAUGUUCAUAACAGCUGUCAUGACAUGUUUAUAACAGCUGUCAUGACAUGUUUAUAACAGCUGUCAUGACAUGUUUAUAACAGCUGUCAUGACAUGUUCAUAACAGCUGUCAUGACAUGUUUAUAACAGCUUUCAUGACAUGUUUAUAACAGCUGUCAUGACAUGUUUAUAACACUGUCAUGACAUGUUCAUAACAGCUGUCAUGACAUGUUUAUAACAGCUGUCAUGACAUGUUUAUAACACUGUCAUGACAUGUUCAUAACAGCUGUCAUGACAUAUUUAGACGCGUUGUGACAUAUAUUGUGUUAUUUUAUGGCUGGUUAUAACACCUACAUAGUAGUGUCAAAAAACACACAUUUAUUCAAAUUUUUAUUGAAAGUUAUUUCAUUUGAAAGUUUGUUUCUUAAAUCUUUUGUUGUUGUUGUUGUUGUUGGAAUGAAUUCCUUUAAUGUCAUGUUUUUUAAUAUUUUCAAUAACUUGUAUAAAAUACACUUUAUGACACUGGUAUGAAGCAUUACGACCACCAUCAUCAUAUCAGCCAGAUAGGCCUAUCAGCUACAUGACCUUAUGUCAGUCAUCAGUCACAUAGAGGGAGGGGUCUUGUCCUGCUCCUGUAUUCAUCCCAGUCAUCAGUCACAUAGAGGGGGUCU
rnacentral:lncRNA from 13 species